rnacentral:rRNA from 1 species
AUUGAACGCUGGCGGCAUGCCUUACACAUGCAAGUCGAACGGUAACGCGGGGCAACCUGGCGACGAGUGGCGAACGGGUGAGUAAUAUAUCGGAACGUGCCCAGUAGUGGGGGAUAGCCCGGCGAAAGCCGGAUUAAUACCGCAUACGACCUAAGGGGGAAAGGGGGGGAUCGCAAGACCUCUCGCUAUUGGAGCGGCCGAUAUCAGAUUAGGUAGUUGGUGGGGUAAAAGCCCACCAAGCCGACGAUCUGUAGCUGGUCUGAGAGGACGACCAGCCACACUGGGACUGAGACACGGCCCAGACUCCUACGGGAGGCAGCAGUGGGGAAUUUUGGACAAUGGGCGCAAGCCUGAUCCAGCCAUGCCGCGUGCGGGAAGAAGGCCUUCGGGUUGUAAACCGCUUUUGUCAGGGAAGAAAUCCCUUGGGAUAAUACCUCGGGGGGAGACGGUA